rnacentral:rRNA from 1 species
GGGGGGGGGGGGGGGGGGGGCGGGGGGGGGCGGGGCGGGGGGGCGGGCGGGGAGGGUGCGGGGCUGGUGGUAGCGGCGGACGGGUGAGGAACACGUGGAUAACCUACCUAUCAGACUGGGGUAACUUCGGGAAACCGGGGCUAAUACCGGAUAAGAUUUUGAACCGCAUGGUUCCACAGUGAAAGACGGUCUUGCUGUCCCUUAAAGACGGAUCCGCGCUGCCUUACCCAGUUGGUAAGGUAACGACUUCCCCAGGCAACGAUGCAUAGCCGACCUGAGAGGGUGAUCGGCCACACUGGAACUGAGACACGGUCCAGACUCCUACGGGAGGCAGCAGUAGGGAAUCUUCCGCAAUGGGCGAAAGCCUGACGGAGCAACGCCGCGUGAGUGAUGAAGGUCUUCGGAUCGUAAAACUCUGUUAUUAGGGAAGAACAUAUGUGUAAGUAACUGUGCACAUCUUGACGGUACCUAAUCAGAAAGCCACGGCUAACUACGUG